rnacentral:rRNA from 1 species
GAUGAACGCUGGCGGCAUGCCUAAUACAUGCAAGUCGGGCGGGAAACCCGGAAAACGGUGUUUCCAGUGUUGGCGGGGGGAGGAUGGGGAAAAAACGGGCCCCUGGGCGGGGAACAACAGCUGGCAACGGCUGCUAAGACCCAGUAGCCGGAGGAGCAAAAGGCGGCAUCCGCCCGAGGAGGGGGACGGGUCUGAUUAGCUAGUUGGUGAGGCCAUAGCUUACCAAGGCGAUGAUCAGUAGCUAGUCCGAGAGGAGGAUCGGCCACACUGCGACGGGGAGACGGAGCAGGCACUUUCGGGCGACAGCAGAAGGGAUGACUCCGCAAUGGGGGGUGGGCUAAGAGGGCAAUGGCACGGUAAAGCAGUGGGCUCACGGAAGGACAACUACUUUACCAGGAGAAGAAACAAUGACGGUAUCUGAGGAGAAAGCAACGGCUAACUCUGUG